UUAAAAUGUCGGUCAAACUUUUAUCCAAAUUCUCAACGUUCACUCUCAUAUCGUAUUUACAGUAAACACAGUAGCGACGGCGGUGUCUGUGUUCUCUAAGCUCUCCUCAGUUGCAAGGUAAGGGACAAAGGAGCAUAGUGUGCCAAAAGGAGAACAAGUAGAACACAAAUUCAUGUUUAAAAACAGGGCAGCAAGCACAAAUAUAAGUUGAUUAUUUAAUACAAAUGGCUGAAUCGAGUAUCUCUGAGUUGCAAACUACAACCAAACCACAAGUCUUAUACCGGUGUAAGAAAUGUAGAAGAAUUGUUGCUUCAAAGGAGAAUAUAGUUACUCAUGAGCGUGGAGAAGGAGAAUCAAGCUUCAAGUGGAAAAAGAGAAGCAGUCAACCCUGGGAAGUGGAAAAGCAACCAAUUGAUUGUACCUCAGUAUUUGUUGAACCUAUGAAGUGGAUGCAAGCAGUGCAAGAAGGUCAUGUAGAGGAGAAACUUCUUUGUAUCGGAUGUAAUGCACGCUUGGGCUACUUCAACUGGGCUGGUAUGCAAUGCAGCUGCGGCGCAUGGGUUAACCCUGCAUUUCAGCUUCAUAAAAGCAAAUUAGAUGAGUGCUACAUGUAAACUAAUCAACCUUUCAGCUUUCUCAAACCAAAGGUUGAGUUGUAUUAUUUUCUCAUGAACGAAAGAUAUGGAAGCUUAGCUUGGACCUUGGAGCAUUGCCUUGUGCUGCCUUUGCAUCUCCAAACUGUGUGUUUUAGGUUGCAUAUUAUAGGUUAGUCACUGAAUGAGUAAGGGAAAUAAAUUGGGAAUGGUUCUUAUGAUAUUGAUCUGCUAAUCUUCAUUUCAAGCUCAUAUCUUCUAAUCUCUUCCCUUCUUAUUUUUACCCAUAACAUUACUUUUGUUUCUCUCCUUUUUUGUGCGAGAAAUGCUAUCAACAACUACAGAGUUGUGUAAGACACCUUCCAAAAAAGAGAAGGGGGAAAUGUAAAAAAAAUGCAUUGUUUAUAGUUUGGUUCGUACUGACUGCCAGGCCAUAGUGUUUAUGGGUGCAGGUUCAAUAUGUGGGAAACGAGGUGACAGGGUCCAUCAGCAGCAUGACAGUUCUCCGGCAAAACGUAAGGGGCAUGGUGAUGUGGCGAGUUCAGCGGCAUGGCAGCUCCUUGACAACACGCAGCGGACGUGUUGCCUGCGAUUCUGCGAAUCCAACAACCGUUUUAGAGGUUCCCACACGUUUCUGAGGAAUUGCAGCAACAUAGGAUGAGCGUGUUAGAGGCUGUCUGCAUGCAGGAAACAACUUCUCCACUCUGAUAACCAACGACGCAGCUCAAGCUCUAUAAAUGGAGCACCUUCGUUUCCAUUUCAUGCCCCAUUUUAUGUAUGCCGUGUAGUGUGUGUUGCGAGAGAAGAAAUAUGAAGUGAGGAAAAAGAAGAGAGUUAGUAGUGCAUCAGUAGUGUUUUUUUU